rnacentral:rRNA from 1 species
AGAGUUUGAUCCUGGCUCAGAACGAACGCUGGCGGCGUGCUUAACACAUGCAAGUCGAACGCGAACGUUUUCUUCGGAAAACUAGUAGAGUGGCGCACGGGUGAGUAACGCGUAAGUAAUCUACCCUCGCAUCCGGGAUAACCCACCGAAAGGUGUGCUAAUACCUGAUACGUCUCAUUUAAUAUCUUUUGAUGAGAGAAAGGUGGCCUCUUCAUGAAAGCUACUGUGCGGGGAGGAGCUUGCGUACCAUUAGCUAGUUGGUAGGGUAAGGGCCUACCAAGGCGAUGAUGGUUAGCGGGUCUGAGAGGAUGAUCCGCCACACUGGAACUGGAACACGGACCAGACUCCUACGGGAGGCAGCAGUGAGGAAUAUUGCGCAAUGGGGGAAACCCUGACGCAGCAACGCCGCGUGAGUGAUGAAGGCCCUCGGGUCGUAAAGCUCUGUCAAGUGGGAAGAACCUGCCCAAUGCCAAUACCAUUGGGCACUGACGGUACCACUGGAGGAAGCACCGGCUAACUCCGUGCCAGCAGCCGCGGUAAGACGGAGGGUGCAAGCGUUAUUCGGAAUUACUGGGCGUAAAGGGCGCGCAGGCGGCUCUUUAAGUCAGGCGUGAAAGCCCGGGGCUAAACUCCGGAAGUGCGUCUGAGACUAAGGGGCUUGAGUACGGGAGAGGGAAGUGGAAUUCCUGGUGUAGAGGUGAAAUUCGUAGAUAUCAGGAGGAACACCGGUGGCGAAGGCGACUUCCUGGACCGAUACUGACGCUGAGGCGCGAAAGCGUGGGGAGCAAACAGGAUUAGAGACCCUGGUAGUCCACGCCCUAAACGAUGAAUGUUAGUCGUCGGGCAGCUAGUCUGUUCGGUGAUGCAGCUAACGCAUUAAACAUUCCGCCUGGGGAGUACGGUCGCAAGAUUAAAACUCAAAGGAAUAGACGGGGACCCGCACAAGUGGUGGAGCAUGUGGUUUAAUUCGAAGAUACGCGAAGAACCUUACCUAGCCUUGACAUAUUUAAGAACACUUUAGAGAUAGAGUGGUGCCUUCGGGAGCUUUUAUACAGGUGCUGCACGGCUGUCGUCAGCUCGUGUCGUGAGAUGUUGGGUUAAGUCCCGCAACGAGCGCAACCCUCGUCACUAGUUACUAACGGUUCGGCCGAGGACUCUAGUGAGACUGCCUUCGCAAGGAGGAGGAAGGUGAGGACGACGUCAAGUCAUCAUGGCCCUUACGGCUAGGGCAACACACGUGCUACAAUGGCCAGGACAAUGAGAAGCAAUACCGCGAGGUGGAGCAAAUCUAUAAACCUGGUCUCAGCUCGGAUUGUUCUCUGCAACUCGAGAGCAUGAAGCUGGAAUCACUAGUAAUCGUAGAUCAGCUAUGCUACGGUGAAUACGUUCCCGGGUCUUGUACUCACCGCCCGUCACACCAUGGGAGUUGAUUUCACUCCGAAGCCGGGGAACGCUAAACAUGGCUACCCUCCACGGUGGAAUCAGCGACUGGGGUGAAGUCGUAACAAGGAACC